UGGGGAAUAUUGCACAAUGGGGGAAACCCUGAUGCAGCAACGCCGCGUGAGCGAAGAAGUAUUUCGGUAUGUAAAGCUCUAUCAGCAGGGAAGAAAAUGACGGUACCUGACUAAGAAGCCCCGGCUAACUACGUGCCAGCAGCCGCGGUAAUACGUAGGGGGCAAGCGUUAUCCGGAUUUACUGGGUGUAAAGGGAGUGUAGGCGGGACUGUAAGUCAGAUGUGAAAACUAUGGGCUCAACCCAUAGACUGCAUUUGAAACUGCGGUUCUUGAGUGAAGUAGAGGUAAGCGGAAUUCCUAGUGUAGCGGUGAAAUGCGUAGAUAUUAGGGGGAACAUCAGUGGCGAAGGCGGCUUACUGGGGCUUUAACUGACGCUGAGGCUCGAAAGCGUGGGGAGCAAACAGGAUUAGAUACCCUGGUAGU
rnacentral:rRNA from 1 species